rnacentral:rRNA from 1 species
GGUGGUGAAGCUGAGAAUUUAAGCCCCAGUAAACGGCGGUGGUAACUAUAACCAUCCUAAGGUAGCGAAAUUCCUUGUCGGGUAAGUUCCGACCUGCACGAAUGGCGUAACGACUUCUCUGCUGUCUCAACCACAGACUCGGCGAAAUUGCAGUACGAGUAAAGAUGCUCGUUACGCGCGGCAGGACGAAAAGACCCCGGGACCUUCACUAUAGCUUGGUAUUGGUGUUCGGUUCGGUUUGUGUAGGAUAGGUGGGAGACUGUGAAGUGGGCACGCCAGUGUUCAUGGAGUCGUUGUUGAAAUACCACUCUGAUCGUAUUGGACUUCUAACCUCGGACCCUGAUCGGGUUCAGGGACAGUGCCUGGUGGGUAGUUUAACUGGGGCGGUUGCCUCCUAAAAGGUAACGGAGGCGCCCAAAGGUUCCCUCAGCCUGGUUGGCAAUCAGGUGUUGAGUGUAAGUGCACAAGGGAGCUUGACUGUGAGACGUACAUGUCGAGCAGGGACGAAAGUCGGGACUAGUGAUCCGGCACCGGCAAGUGGAAGCGGUGUCGCUCAACGGAUAAAAGGUACCCCGGGGAUAACAGGCUGAUCUUCCCCAAGAGUCCAUAUCGACGGGAUGGUUUGGCACCUCGAUGUCGGCUCGUCGCAUCCUGGGGCUGGAGUAGGUCCCAAGGGUUGGGCUGUUCGCCCAUUAAAGCGGCACGCGAGCUGGGUUUAGAACGUCGUGAGACAGUUCGGUCUCUAUCCGCCGCGCGCGUAAGAAACUUGAGGAAACCUGUCCCUAGUACGAGAGGACCGGGACGGACGAACCUCUGGUGUGCCAGUUGUCCCGCCAGGGGCACUGCUGGUUAGCUACGUUCGGAAGGGAUAACCGCUGAAAGCAUCUAAGCGGGAAGCCUGUUCCAAGAUGAGGUUUCUCACCCCCUU